UUCUAUUGCUUUCAGUAUUUUUUUUUUGAGAUUAUUUUCAGUGAAAGAAAAUUUUUUGGAAAUAACCCAUCAUUUUUUUUUGUGGAAAACUGGAAAAAAAAUAGAAACAAAUUGAUAAUUUUGUAUGUUUUACAUUUAUGUACUUGUUCCCUAAGCUUUUGUUUGGUUGGUAAGAAAAUAGAAGUGUAGGAGGUUGGAAGGAUGGAAAGUUUCAUUCAAAAGGAGGAGCUUUUAAACCUUUUUGUUAUUUUAAUCUUGGGUUUGUAGUAUUUGCAUGUGGAAAGUUCUGUUCUUUGAAAAAACAAGCUGUUUGUUUUCUUUAAUUCAAGAGAAAACCAAUUAAGAGUGUAGCUUUAGAUUUAAGUAUGAUUUUACUCUAUUUUUAUGUUGAGGAAUGGUUUCUAAUUAGACCAAUAAAUACUGUAGUUUUAUAUCGAAGUAUGAGUUUAUUUUUUUGGUGAAGAAUGAUUUCUAAUUGCUUUGGUUUUUGCUUUUGAUAUGAAAUGCAAAAUAUUGAUAAAUUUGAAAAAGCUAUAAAUGAGGGUAAUUUCUAUGGAGCUCAACAGAUGUACAAAUCAAUAAGUGCACGGUAUGACACUAUGACUGCUUGCCAUCACCAAUUUUAUUUUAUUAUUUUUAAGAGUUAAAAUUUCUAGAACUGUUAUUGUUCUAUGUUUCUCGGGUGUAUGUCUGGUUGGAAUGCCAUGCCCAUUUAUGUCAAACAGAGGGACUUCACAAAUGAAGUAAAAGAAAAGAGCCUGAGCAACGAAGGAUUUAACUGUACUUAGUCUUGGAUGGGGCUUAAUGGGGUAAAUCCCCUUAUGGUUGGAUAAAAGGCUUGUAAGAUUGAGUAGGUUAGCAUCACGUGAUUUACUGUGUAUGAAAAAUUGGUCUGCAAAUUAUUAGUUUUGAUAUACUGGUGUAAGUGUUCAAUUAUUAGUUUUGGCAUUGAUUGCAGCAAGUGUGACUCAACUGAUCUGUUAAUGUGCUUUUGUUCUUUUUAAUUCUUAGACAUCAUAUUUGUACAUUUAAAAUCAUCUGUAGAUCCAUCUGCUUUAAGAGAUAAAGUUAUAUUUGCAAAUUGGCAGAGAAACCGAAGGAAACCUGAAGAACUUAAUGGGGGAAAAAAGGUGAACAGUAGGAAGAUCCUAAUGCAAUUUGAGCAAGAUCAAAAGGAAACAAAAGAUAUUCUGUUGAAGUGCUUCAGGAAAAGUAUGAAAAGGCCAUUGCUGCACUUGCUGAAAUGGAGAAAAGAGCGGUAAUGGCAGAAUCAAUGGAGGAGGGUACCUUACAUUACCAUUCUGGACAAAAUAAAGCUCAACCGUCUUUUUCUCCACGGUGUGUAGUUGACUUCCCACUUUCAAAUCUUUUAUGCUUGGGUGAAAAACAUUUUAUAAUGGAUGAUAAAACCAAACCAGACCAGCUGGUUCAACUAAUUCUACAGAGAACCUGGUAGUUUGACAGUCAUAUAGAUAAGCUUAUUUGCAUACCAUUACAAGCCUAGUUGUAAGGUACUUUGUUCCAUUUUUUUGUACUUAAUUGCCACUUGAAUUUAUAUUCUAUAAGACACGAUACCCCAAUUUGUUAACAACUUAAUAUCAAAUUGCAGAUAUGCUAUUGCUUUCCUAAAUUACAGAUAUUGCGCUGCUAUCGCUGGGACUGAUUACUAUGUUAUAACAGCUGAUGCUUGAAUGUCUACCGGUCACAAUAUCCUCACCGGUGACUACUCCAAAAUCUCCAAAACUAUAGACGAGAAGACUACCUCAAACGAGGAAAAGAGAAGAUAGUGGAGUAAAUUGCAAAAUUGCAAUAUUUUGCAUCGAGUGAUUUCCAUCAACUCAGAAUUGGAACGGAGUCAGACAAUCAUCUACACUAUCAUCCACGUUUGGUAAAUGGACACUGACCGAAGUGUGGCAGAUGAUGUUGAAAGUAAUGCGCCGGCUCCCGCACAAGGGACCGCGCAUGAAGAGAGUAGACAUGAGACACAUGGACAGGAUGAGGCUCGGGAAGCCUUCUUCCGGAUGAUGAGUGAUUGGUAUACAGAAUAUGUUCGUGUAAAUCUGAAUGUACCACCUCCUCCACCUCUUCCUAUUCCUCAACCGGUCCCCGUAGCUCCACGAAGUGCUGAAUUGGUGAGAUCAAGAAACCACCC